AAUCUCAAAUUAAAUGAUUAAUAUUCCCCAAAUUCCAAUUAACUACACUUCCGCUGUUACAGAGGGGAAACACUGUAAUCAUACUGUAAACUUUCAAAAGUUUAUAUAUUGUGCAUAGUUUGAAGUGAAAAAAAACUUUUCUUCAAUUGUGUUUGGGUUCAGGCUCUGUUUAGGAUCGGUAUCGGAAAAACCCAAACGAUACUCAUCCGUACCAGACAUGAGUCUGCACGCUCAACGUGAAGCUACAGCCAGCCGCUGGUUAGCUUAGCAUGAAGACUGGAGACAAGAGGGCUCGAAAGGGAUGUUUAAGAAUCCGGAUUCAACAGUUUACAAAUUUCCGACUUGAUGAAACAAUGGACAAAAAUCGUUCUUUAUUUAUUCUUAAAGUGUUUGCUUUCAAGAUCAAGAUGGGGUCAUAGAAAAAAACAAGUAGAGCAAAGUGUUUUAUGCACCAUGUCAAGUGGAUGAGCUCCAUCAAUACAAAUACACCGUCCACACACAUUUACUCUAAAGGCUCAUUUGCAUAUUGUAGAUACCUUCACUGUAACCAUAGAGACGUUACAUCAUGAUGGAACAUUUCUCCAUGUUCCAUGUUCCAUGUUCUAUGCUCCGUUCACCACAGCAUAAGAACACAGUCUGUUACACAUCCAGUCAGUCAGUUUCAAACCUCGCAUCUACACACUGAAGUUUUCCGGACCUACACUUGCAGAAAGCAACCAUGUAAUGCCUCAGGAGUCUGUAGAGGGGACGAAGACGCGUUCUGCUGCACUUAACAGAGCUCAAGGUAAGUGAGGAAUCCAGACAGACUGCAGCCUUACUGCUGUGAAUGAUGUAUGGUCUAUCGGGUGGAGAAGGCUGUGAUUUAGAGCUAAUACCUUGAGAUAAACCUCUGAUUCCUGCUGUUGUCAUGUAGAUGUACACAGAGACGCAUUAACAUAUAAAAGUUAUUUGAAGAAAAUUGCACUUCUGAGUUUGUACUCUAUGGGUGGAAUGCACUUAUUGUAAGUCGCUUUGGAUAAAAGCGUCAGCUAAAUGAAAUGUAAUGUAAUGUAAAAAGUACUUACACAGAGACGCCUAACAUAUUGGUAUGCACAGAGACUAGCUAAACAUAAAAAGCAAAUACAGAAAUACAGUUUAACAACCACAAAUAUAUAAUGUAGAUUUACACAUCCAUACAAACAUGAAAUAAUUAAAAUGUGCAUCAAAUUAAAAUAAUUGGAUCUAUGAAUCUUGUCUCACAUCCUGAUGAUCCUCCUCACGUCUCUUCUCCUUGUCUGCAGACCAACGGGACGCCAUCAGGACGCCAUCAGGACGCCACGUCAACGGGACGCCAUCAGGACGCCACGUCAACGGGACGCCAUCAGGACCUCACGUCAACCCCUCAGGAGCAAAUCCAGAUCUACGCAUGACACACACACACACACCCCCACACACACACACACAGAUGUACACACAGACACACUAACAUUUGGUUCUAAACAAAGACACACACUAACAUUUAGAUGUACACAAAGACACAUUAAUAUUUAGAUGUACACACAGACACACUAACAAUUAGAUGUACACACAGACACACUAUCAUUUGGUUCUAAACAAAGACACACACUAAUAUUUAGAUGUACACACAGACACACUAACAAUUAGAUGUACACACAGACACAUCCUGAUGAUCCUCCUCACGUCUCUUCUCCUUGUCUGCAGACCAACAGGACGCCAUCAGGACGCCAUCAGGACGCCACCAAAUCCAGAUCUACUCAUGACACACACACACACACACACACACACACACACACACACAGAUGUACUCACAGACACACUAACAUUUGGUUCUAAACAAAGACACACACUAAUAUUUAGAUGUACACAAAGACACAUUAAUAUUUAGAUGUACACACAGACACACUAACAAUUAGAUGUACACACAUACACACUAUCAUUUGGUUCUAAACAAAGACACACACUAAUAUUUAGAUGUACACAAAGACAUAUUAAUAUUUAGAUGUACAAACAGACACACUAACAUUUAGAUGUACACACAGACACACUAACAAUUAGAUGUACACACAGACACACUAACAUUUGGUUCUACACAAAGACACACACUGACAUUUAGAUGUACACAAAGACACAAUAACAAUUAGAUGUACACACAGACACAUUAGUAUUCAGAAUUACACAAAAACACACAAACAUCUGGUUCUGCACAAAAACACAUUAAUAUUUAAAUGUACCCACGGACCCACUAACAAUUAGAUCCACACACAGACACACUAACAAUUAGAUGUACACACGGACACAUCCUGAUGAUCCUCCUCACGUCUCUUCUCCUUGUCUGCAGACCAACAGGACGCCAUCAGGACGCCACGUCAUCGGGACGCUACGUCAUCGGGACACACUAACAAUUAGAUGUACACACAGACACACUAACAUUUGGUUCUAAACAAAGACACACUAACAUUUAGAUGUACAAAAAGACACACACUAAUAUUUAGAUGUACACAAAGACACACACUAAUAUUUAGAUGUACACAAAGACACACUAACAAUUAGAUGUACACACAGACACACUAACAACAUUAAUAUGUAAAUAACUUUUCUUCUUUUCUCUCUUCUCAGGAACUGCUUCAGAUGUUUUCCCAAUGAUUGUGUUAUUAUAAUUGUUAAAUAUGUCGUCUGUUUAUUAUUUUAACAAUGAAAAUAAAUUUUAAUAAAAAUAAAACCAAAUGAAUCCGUCUUGUUUUCUUCAGACCAAAGAGAAUCACAUGUUCUUUAUUACUCGUUGACUUGAAUGAAGUGAAACAACAAUGAUCUUGAGU
ensembl:lncRNA